rnacentral:rRNA from 1 species
UAACCAGGAUUCCCUCAGCAACGGCGAGUGAAGCAGGAAAAGCCCAGCACCGAAUCCCCCGGUCCAGCGGCCGGCGGGAACUGUGGUGUGCGGGACGCCACCAGUCGCGUUGAUCGAGGCCUCUCCCACGGUGGGUGUAAGGCCUUUGCUGGUGCGGGCGCGCGCGGCGGCGAGCGUCCCAGGGAUCGGGUUGUUUGGGAAUACAGCCCNNNNNNNNNNNCCAAGGAGUCUGGCGCGCACGCGAGUCGCGGGGUCGUACGAAACCCGCAGGCGCAGUGAAAGCGAGGGUCUCCUCGUGAUGGCUAGAUCCCGCGCAUCCUCGUGCAUGUGUGGGCACAUCGCCGGCCCGUCCUGGCCGCGUCGCCGGGACCCGAAAGAUGGUGAACUAUGCCUGAGCAGGGCGAAGCCAGGGGAAACUCUGGUGGAGGCCCGCAGCGAUUUUGACGUGCAAAUUGAUCGUCGAACUUGGGUAUAGGGGCGAAAGACUAAUCCAACCAUCUA